GCCGGGCAUGGUGGUGUGCGCCUGUAAUCCCAGCUACUUGGGAGGCUGAGGCAGGAGAAUUGCUUGAGCCCAGGAGGCGGAGGUUGCAGUGAGCUGAGAUCGCACCACUGCACUCCAGCCUGGGCAUCAGAGCAAGACUCCGUCUCAA
ensembl:misc_RNA Metazoa_SRP Metazoan signal recognition particle RNA